rnacentral:misc_RNA from 1 species
GCAUCAGGACUAAAGCUGGUUCCAAACCUAACGUUGUUGGUAGAGGAAAGCUCUUUGGUGUACUUCCUCUUCUCCUCUGCUGGCAACCCAAAGAAACGAUGGGUCGCAUCCUUAACACCAUCGAGUACCUCGAGUGGCACGCCAUGGUUAACCAGCUGAAAGAAGCCAAAUUUCUCUGCAGCUUCACAGACUGAUUCUGCAACUUUGGGGUCAUUAUCCCAAUUGGACAAAUC